GUUUGCACUUGUCGGGGAAGGGUGAGAACCUUCGAUUAAGGUUCGACUCGAGCGAAAGCGAGAGAACGUUGCCAACGGCAACGGCCCGAAGGGUGAGGAGCGAAGCGACGAAUAAUCCUUCCCCUACCACCA
rnacentral:sRNA from 1 species